GCUGGCGGCGUGCCUAAUACAUGCAAGUCGAGCGAACGGACGAGAAAGCUUGCUUCUCUGAUGUUAGCGGCGGACGGGUGAGUAACACGUGGAUAACCUACCUAUAAGACUGGGAUAACUUCGGGAAACCGGAGCUAAUACCGGAUAAUAUUUUGAACCGCAUGGUUCAAAAGUGAAAGACGGUCUUGCUGUCACUUAUAGAUGGAUCCGCGCUGCAUUAGCUAGUUGGUAAGGUAACGGCUUACCAAGGCAACGAUGCAUAGCCGACCUGAGAGGGUGAUCGGCCACACUGGAACUGAGACACGGUCCAGACUCCUACGGGAGGCAGCAGUAGGGAAUCUUCCGCAAUGGGCGAAAGCCUGACGGAGCAACGCCGCGUGAGUGAUGAAGGUCUUCGGAUCGUAAAACUCUGUUAUUAGGGAAGAACAUAUGUGUAAGUAACUGUGCACAUCUUGACGGUACCUAAUCAGAAAGCCACGGCUAACUACGUGCCAGCAGCCGCGGUAAUACGUAGGUGGCAAGCGUUAUCCGGAAUUAUUGGGCGUAAAGCGCGCGUAGGCGGUUUUUUAAGUCUGAUGUGAAAGCCCACGGCUCAACCGUGGAGGGUCAUUGGAAACUGGAAAACUUGAGUGCAGAAGAGGAAAGUGGAAUUCCAUGUGUAGCGGUGAAAUGCGCAGAGAUAUGGAGGAACACCAGUGGCGAAGGCGACUUUCUGGUCUGUAACUGACGCUGAUGUGCGAAAGCGUGGGGAUCAAACAGGAUUAGAUACCCUGGUAGUCCACGCCGUAAACGAUGAGUGCUAAGUGUUAGGGGGUUUCCGCCCCUUAGUGCUGCAGCUAACGCAUUAAGCACUCCGCCUGGGGAGUACGACCGCAAGGUUGAAACUCAAAGGAAUUGACGGC
rnacentral:rRNA from 1 species